rnacentral:rRNA from 1 species
AACGUCAAUGAUCAUUUACAACUUGCCGAUUAUUCCGGCUGACCUACGUCCGCUGAUUCAAAUUGACGGCGGUCGCCACUCGACCUCUGACAUUAACGACUUGUACCGCCGGAUUAUCAUUCGGAACAACCGUCUGAAAAAAUGGCAGGAAAACGACGCCCCGAUUUUGAUUAUUCAAAACGAACUGCGCAUGCUCCAAGAAGCAAUCGAUGCGUUAAUUGAUAACAGUCGNCAAAAAGUUGAUGGAUAGGAGAAGGAGUUGGAAAGCUCCGCCAGAGAGGGUGAAAGCCCCGUAACCGAAAUUUAUCAACCUCCUAGUCGUACCCUGAGUAGGGCGGGGCACGUGAAACCUUGUCUGAACCAGCCGGGACCACCCGGUAAGACUAAAUACUCAUUAGACACCGAUAGCGAACUAGUACCGUGAGGGAAAGGUGAAAAGAACCCCGGAGGGGGAGUGAAAUAGAUUCUGAAACCAAAGAGCCUACAAGUAGUCAGAGCACGUUAAUGUGUGAUGGCGUACAUCUUGCAGGAUGGACCGGCGAGUUAUGUUAGCAUGCGAGGUUAAGUGGUAAAAAGCGGAGCCGUAGAGAAAUCGAGUCUGAAUAGGGCGAUUAGUAUGUUGGCAUAGACCCGAAACGAGGUGAUCUAACCAUGGGCAGGUUGAAGCAUGGGUAACUCCAUGUGGAGGACCGAACCAGAGUACGCUGAAAAGUGCUUGGAUGACCUGUGGUUAGCGGUGAAAUUCCAAUCGAACCUCGAUAUAGCUGGUUCUCCCCGAAAUAGCUUGAGGGCUAGCGUGUGGUGUUAAGUUACGGAGGUAGAGCACUGAAUGUGGGAUGGCCUCACCUAGAGGUACUGACCAUAAUCAAACUCCGAAUGCCGUAACGGAUUGCCAUGCAGUCGGACUAUGGAAGAUAAGUCCCGUAGUCGCGAGGGAAACAACCCAGAUCGUCAGCUAAGGUCCCUAAAUUGUGCUAAGUGAAAAAGGUGGUGAAGUUUCUCAAACAACUAGGAUGUUGGCUUAGAAGCAGCCAUCAUUUAAAGAGUGCGUAAUUGCUCACUAGUCAAGAAAUUUUGUGCCCAAAAUGUAACGGGACUAAGCACAAUACCGAAGCUACGGGUACCUACGGGUACGUUAGGGGAGCGUUCUAAUCUGCGCUGAAGUCAGACCGUGAGGACUGAUGGAGCGGUUAGAAGUGAGAAUGCCGGUAUGAGUAACGAUUCAAGGUGAGAAUCCUUGACGCCUAUUGGGGAAGGUUUCCUGGGGCAGGUUCGUCCACCCAGGGUUAGUCGGGACCUAAGGCGAGGCCGAAAGGCGUAGUCGAUGGACAACAAGUUGAUAUUCUUGUACCUCCGCGCGAGUGAUGGAGUGACGAAGCAGGAUAACUUUACUAGUUAACGGAUUCUAGGGCAAGUAAUUAGUGGGUCGUGUAGGCAAAUCCGCACGGCGUAACCGUGAGUUACGAUGCAUAGGGAAAGUCUAGGCAAGUACCGAAUUAAGCGAUUCCAAACUUCCAAGAAAAACUUCUAACUUUAAUCGCGUGUGAGCCCGUACCGAGAACGGACACACGUCCCCAAGAUGAGUAUUCUAAGGCGAGCGAGAUAACCAUUGUUAAGGAACUCUGCAAAAUUACCCCGUAAGUUCGCAAGAAGGGGCGCUCACUUCGGUGAGCCACAGGAAAUGUGAGGGGCGACUGUUUACCAAAAACAUAGCUCUCUGCUAAGUCGUAAGACGAUGUAUAGGGGGUGACGCCUGCCCAGUGCCCGAAGGUUAAGUUGAUUUGUUAGUCAAAAAUUAAAAUACGACGAAGCAUUGAUAUGAAGCCCGGGUGAACGGCAGCUGUAACUAUAACGGUUCUAAGGUAGCGAAAUUCCUUGUCACUUAAUUGGUGACCUGCACGAAAGGCGUAACGAUCUCUCAACUGUCUCAACAAUGGACUCGGUGAAAUUAUGGUAACGGUGAGAACGCCGUUUUCCCGCAGCAAGACGAAAAGACCCCGUGAAGCUUUACUACAACUUCGUAUUGGAUUCUGGUUAAACAUGUGUAGGAUAGGUGGGAGACUUUGAAGCGUUGACGCUAGUCAACGUGGAGUCACCCUUGAAAUACCACCCUUGUUUAAUUGGGAUUCUAACCCACUUUUGUUAUCCAAAAGGGAGACAGUGCGUGGUGGGUAGUUUGACUGGGGCGGUCGCCUCCUAAAAGGUAACGGAGGCGUUCAAAGGUACCCUCAAUAUGGUCGGAAACCAUAUGUAGAGCGUAAAGGUAAAAGGGUGCUUGACUGCGAGACACACAUGUCGAGCAGGUGCGAAAGCAGGACUUAGUGAUCCGGCGAUUCCGUGUGGAAGGGUCGUCGCUCAACGGAUAAAAGUUACUCCGGGGAUAACAGGCUAAUCUCCCCCAAGAGAUCACAUCGACGGGGAGGUUUGGCACCUCGAUGUCGGCUCAUCGCAUCCUGGAGCUGGAGUCGGUUCCAAGGGUUUGGCUGUUCGCCAAUUAAAGCGGUACGCGAGCUGGGUUCAGAACGUCGUGAGACAGUUCGGUCCCUAUCUGCUGUGGGCGUUGGAGUGUUGAGAAAAGCUGUUCCUAGUACGAGAGGACCGGAACGGACGUACCACUAGUGUUCCAGUUGUCCCGCCCGGGGCAUAGCUGGGUAGCUAAGUACGGAAAGGAUAACCGCUGAAGGCAUCUAAGCGGGAAGCCUCUUUCAAGAUGAGCACUCCUUGAAAUUCCUUAUGGACUAUGAGGUUGAUAGGCUGGGUGUUUAAGUAUGGUGACAUAUUGAGCUAACCAGUACUAAUAAUUGAAAAAUUUAACGC